AGUGAACGCUGGCGGCAGGCCUAAUACAUGCAAGUCGAACGGCAGCACAGUAAGAGCUUGCUCCUACGGGUGGCGAGUGGCGGACGGGUGAGGAAUACAUCGGAAUCUACUUUUUCGUGGGGGAUAACGUAGGGAAACUUACGCUAACACCGCAUAUGACCUACGGGUGAAAGCAGGAGAUCUUCGGACCUUGCGCGAUUGAUUGAGCCGAUGUCGGAUUAGCUAGUUGGCGGGGUAAAGGCCCACCAAGGCGACGAUCCGUAGCUGGUCUGAGAGGAUGAUCGGCCACACUGGAACUGAGACACGGUCCAGACUCCUACGGGAGGCAGCAGUGGGGAAUAUUGGACAAUGGGCGAAAGCCUGAUCCAGCCAUGCCGCGUGGGUGAAGAAGGCCUUCGGGUUGUAAAGCCCUUUUGUUGGGGAAGAAAAGCAGCAGAUUAAUCUCCCGCUGUUCUGACGGUACCCAAAGAGUAAGCACCGGCUAACUUCGUG
rnacentral:rRNA from 1 species